rnacentral:rRNA from 1 species
UGGCGGACGGGUGAGUAACGCGUGGGUAACCUGCCUUGUACAGGGGGAUAACAGUCAGAAAUGACUGCUAAUACCGCAUAAGCGCACAGGACCGCAUGGUCCGGUGUGAAAAACUCCGGUGGUAUAAGAUGGACCCGCGUUGGAUUAGCUAGUUGGUGAGGUAACGGCCCACCAAGGCGACGAUCCAUAGCCGGCCUGAGAGGGUGAACGGCCACAUUGGGACUGAGACACGGCCCAG